UACGUAGGGGGCAAGCGUUGUCCGGAAUCAUUGGGCGUAAAGAGCGUGUAGGCGGCCCGGUAAGUCCGCUGUGAAAGUCCAGGGCUCAACCCUGGGAUGCCGGUGGAUACUGUCGGGCUCGAGUCCGGAAGAGGAGUGUGGAAUUCCUGGUGUAGCGGUGAAAUGCGCAGAUAUCAGGAGGAAUACCGGUGGCGAAGGCAGCUCCGCUGGGACGUGACUGACGCUGAGACGCGAAAGCGUGGGGAGCAAACAGG
rnacentral:rRNA from 1 species